rnacentral:rRNA from 1 species
CCUACGGGAGGCAGCAGUGGGGAAUAUUGGGCAAUGGGCGCAAGCCUGAACCAGCAAAGCCGCGUGAAGGAAGAAGGCCCACAGGUUGGAAACUUCUUUUAUUCGGGGCGCAACAAAUGACGGUACCGAAUGAAUAAGCCACGCCUAACUACGUGCCAGCAGCCACGGUAAGCCGGAGGUUGCAAGCGUUAUCCGGAUUUAAUGGGUGUAAGGGGCGUGUAGGCGGGAGAGCAAGGCAGACGUGAAAUUCCAGGGCUCAACCCUGGAACUGCGUUUGAAACUGUUCUUCUUGAGUGCUGGAGAGGCAGGCGGAAUGCGGGGUGUAGCGGUGAAAUGCGUAGAUAUACGGAGGAACACCAGUGGCGAAGGCGGCCUGCUGGACAUUCACUGACGCUGAGGCGCGAAAGCGUGGGUAGCAAACAGGAUUAGAUACCCGGGUAGUC